GAAGGAUGUGGUUGUAACGAAAAAAGAGUUCGAGAUGCAAAUGGAGGUUGUGGGAAAGAUCAAGCACGACAAUGUAGUGCCAUUGAGAGCGUUUUAUUAUUCCAAGGAUGAGAAACUGCUGGUUUACGAUUACAUGCCGGCCGGUAGCUUAUCUGCUCUCCUCCAUGGUAGUAGAGGGUCAGGCCGGACACCACUUGAUUGGGACAACCGGAUGAGAAUCGCAAUGAGUGCAGCAAGAGGCCUAGCUCAUCUACAUGUGGUUGGAAACGUGGUCCACGGCAACAUCAAAUCCUCCAAUAUCCUCCUCCGACCUGAUCAGGACGCUUGCGUCUCCGACUUCGGACUCAACCCGCUCUUUGGCACCUCUACG
rnacentral:misc_RNA from 1 species